GAGAACAGUCAGAGUAAAAUGGUAGUUCAGAUAUUGAUGUUACAGUCAUCCAAAAUAUAGAGAGAAUUAAAACGAAAAGAAACCAAAGUACAAGUUUUCUAAGGUUUCCCAAAAUAUAAGAUUACUAACCAUUAAAAAGACCUAAAGAGUGUUCUUCGAAAUAACAAUCUAUAGAAAUAUGAACUAAUAGACGUCCUAAGUACUAGGUGUUGGAUCUUCCUCAGCCUCCAACGCUUGCUCCAAGGGUACCUCAUCACCUACUGCUCACAUCCAAAGGAUUGGAUGAUCAUCGCAAGGGGGAAGGCAAACACAUACAAACAUACAUGUGCAAGGAUGAGCUAGGUCUCAAACAAACAUACAAAUCAUGGCAAAUUAUUCUAGCAUUAUCGAGAACAUCCAUUUACAUACAAGCAUAUAAGCCAUCAUGAACAUAAGCACUUAUCUCAUAAAGUCAAUUAAAACAAUCAUCCUAUCAUGUAAAGACUCUUAGACACGUCCGGACAUAGAAUGAAUGUAGAGCUGGGGCGGGUUGUGUACUUGUGAUGGCCCCUACUGCUUUGCAAAGCCAUUGCCGAUGGGUUCCUAUUGGAAUUAUUUUAUUCUCUGUUCAUAUCUGUGCAUUUAUAUUCAUAUAUUUUUAUACUUAUAUUCCUUUUUUAUAUUGCUCUGAACAAUUAUAUAUAUCAAUUGUACUCUCUCCUUAUAAUUGAAUAAGAAAUACAAUAUUUCAUUCUUUUUUCUUUUCUAACAGUUCCACCCGACCAUACACAAGGCAAGUCCGUUACCGCAGUAUAGACCUCUAGUGAUAGCGUCUACCCUAGGACCUCCCACUACUCUCACCACACGCGUCAAUCCUCUCUAAGUGAGAAUGAAAGACCGUUGGAGUGUUAGGGAUAACCCCCCAUAUGGAAGCCUCUCACCAUUCAUUCAAUACACUAACUGAUCUCACCGAGAGACCGUAAUUCCAUAACCAAAUCCAACCACUUUAAUCAAAUGAUAUACCUCUUGAAUCAAUAAUGUACUAUACAUUAACUCAUCAAACGCAAGGUUUUUCCACACCAUAUAAAAAGUUUCGACUUCAUAUAAAAUACCAAAACAAGACAUAAAAAUAUUCAACUUUUAUUAUUUAUUUUAUGUACCUAAUAACCCCUCAAUCCCUUAAAUUAAAUCAUAAACAUUCGCUAGUGCCCUAAGUUAAUCCUAUGAUACAAUCAUUAUUUGAUACCCAACCUAUUUCUACAUUAUAUAAAAUUCCAAGUGCAAUUUAGUAUUACAAUAAAUCAUUCAUCAAAACAAUAGACAUCUUACAUAUAUCCAACAUAUACAUAUUCAUUCAUUAGUUACAAGCACAACAGAGUAUCACAUAGAUUUUCCAGUUUAAAUAGUUCAAGUUAUUAAAAUAGAAUACAAACAUGCACUUCUAUCAUUCGAACACAUGAAUCAUAUCAUAUCAUUGCACAAGAAUCAUGUAAUAUGACACCUACAUUUAUCUCUGAUUUCAUAUAAAAGUGAUACCCUUUUUCUUUUUCAACUAUUAACCACAUAAGUAGAAUCCAAAAAUUCAUCAAAUUUUUAUAAAUAUAAUACGAAACCUGAUACCAAAGCAAUUUAAAUUUCAACCAAGCUCAAAACAUAAUAUUAUAUCAUUCAUUCAAAUAUAUAUAUAUAUAUAUAUAUAUAUAUAUAUAUAAUGUACUAGUAUUAUAAAACUGGAAUGUACUCUUACUGUAACACAUAAUAUAAUAUACUACUUAUCACACUUUACCAAACCGUGGCCCCUCUCAACGUGCAUACAUAUAUAAAUAGGAAAACCCCUUCUCUGUAUACUAAAAUUUUUAAGAUAUAACUUUUCUUUUUCCAACGUCGAAACUCCAAUCAAUAAUUAGAUAUGUAUAUACUAUUAUAAGUGUUUUUAUAUAUAUAACCGUGUUAUAAUAAUAAUAAUAAUAAUAAUAUAUUAUAAUAUAUUAGAUUACAGAAGAACUUGAAUUCACUUAGAUAAUAUAUUAUAAUAUAUAUAAAACCUUAUAUUCCAGAAGAAGUUGAAUUCACAUGUAUAAUAUAUUAUAAUAUAUAAAAUCUUAGGUGCAGAAGUUGAAUUCUGGUCAUUCCCAUACUGUUUCUUUCUUCUAUUAUCCAAUACUCUCUCUUUCUCUUUUCUCAUGACACCCCCCUCUCAACCAAUUUAAUUACAACAACAAAGUUUCUCUCAAUUUAUUUUCAAACAAUAAUUAACAUAUUCACAGUCAGUCAUUAUAAAAUAUGCAACUCAACCAGUUCAACAAUUAAUUACAUAACUAAAACAACAUAUAAGUACCAAGGGAAACACAGUUAAACGACAUACAAUCACUCAAUAAAUUUUAUCUAGCUCCCCUUACCUGGAAAGUUUCACAGUUUAACUUGACAGGAACGCUCUAAACAAUGCUCCUCACAACAAAUUUCAAAGACACCCUAUAAAUCACCCAAUGAUGAUAGAAUUAGCUUUUUAGGCUAGAAAUUACCACAAAUUUGAAAUAGAAUGCUUCUAGUGGCAUGCAUUCAGUAAAAUAACAUGCCCUAGGUUUUAGAAACAGCGGAGAAAAGGGGAAAACCACUUACCGGCUACGGAACGUAAAACCAAUCGGAUGGUUUGGAAGCUCUCUACGGGACGGUCGCAGGGGUACCACCAAACAGAGCAUGCACCGAGUCAGUGGAAUGGAAGGCUAGAGAGAAAGCAGAGCUAGGAGAAGAAGAAACUGUUUAGAGAGAGAAUGUUU
rnacentral:lncRNA from 1 species